UCGGGAAUUUUGGGCAAUGGGCGAAAGCCUGACCCAGCAACGCCGCGUGAAGGAUGAAGUAUUUCGGUAUGUAAACUUCGUAAGAAUAGGAAGAAUAAAUGACGGUACUAUUUGUAAGGUCCGGCUAACUACGUGCCAGCAGCCGCGGUAAUACGUAGGGACCAAGCGUUGUUCGGAUUUACUGGGCGUAAAGGGCGCGUAGGCGGUUUGUCAAGUCAGUUGUGAAAUCUCCGAGCUUAACUCGGAACGGUCAACUGAUACUGUCAAACUAGAGUACAGAAGGGGCAAUCGGAAUUCUUGGUGUAGCGGUGAAAUGCGUAGAUAUCAAGAGGAACACCUGAGGCGAAGGCGGGUUGCUGGGCUGAUACUGACGCUGAAGCGCGAAAGCUAGGGUAGCAAACGGGAUUAGAUACCCUAGUAGUCCCUGAGCGGGCUGGCAAGGCGCAU
rnacentral:rRNA from 1 species